rnacentral:lncRNA from 1 species
AAAGGCAACAGGUCGUUGGCUGGGGUAAAGGCCGAUGGGCUGGACUGAGAAAGUGUCCCCGGGCGGGCAGCGGCCACCUUAACUCCUGGACGGAAUGGCUUUCGAGGAAACGCUGCAGUUCCACUAGGAGGCACCCUGACACACGCAUUUCCAGAGGGAGGGAUAACGGAAGCCAAAGUUUGUUAAGCGUUGUGCGCCGCGGCCGGGCGCGGUGAUUCACGCCUGUAAUCCCAGCACUUUGGGGGGCCGAGGCGGGCGGAUCACGACGUCAGGAGAUCGAGACCAUUCUGGCUAACACGGUGAAACCCCGUCUCUACUAAAAAUACAAAAACAAAAUUAGCUGGGCGUGGUGGCGGGCGCCUGUAGUCCCAGCUACUCGGGAGGCUGAGGUGGGAGAAUGGCGGGAACCCGGGAGGCGGAGUUUGCAGUGAGCCGAGAUUGCGCCACUGCACUCCAGCCUGGGCGACAGAGCGAGACUAUGUAUCAAAAAAAAAAAUGCGUUGUGCGCCGGGCUGAAACCGGCAUAAAACUGGGCAGAGCUAUGCAGGCAGCUACCCUCCCCCCCACCCCUACCCCCACCCCCACCCCCCUCGUGCCCGCUCCGCUACGUAUUCCCGUAUUCCCGGGUGCCUGGCAACAGUGAUGUGCUUUAGGCCUUUUUUAGAAUGCAUACAAACGGAACCAUAUCUAAGUGAUGUCUGGCUUUUUUAACUUAGCACAAUGCUUUGAGAUUCAUACUAUUGUGUUUAAUUAGUAAUUCAUUUGUGUUAUUGUUGAAUGGUAGUCUAUCAUAUGGGUAAGCCACAGUUUAUUUAUCCAUUCACCAAUUGAUGGGCCUGUCGGUUGUAGGGAACAGGAGAAAACUUCCCCUUUGCCCUCUGAAGGGUCACCGAAAAUCAACUGACAAGGCUGGGCCUGGGCUCCUGCCUGUAACCCCAGCCCUUUUUUAGCCCAAGGCAGGAGGAUCUCUUCUUUGUGAAGUGUGUAUUCAAAUCUUUUGACCAUUUAUUUAUUAGCUAGCUUGACUUUUUAUCUAAGAGUUCUUUAUAUAUUAUUGAGUUCUUUAUAUGUUUCAUACCAUGUUCUUUAUUAGCUAUACGUUUUGAAAUGUUUUCUACCUGUCUGUGGCUUGCCUCUUCAUUUUAAGUGUCUUUUGAAGCACUGAAGUUUUCAAUUUUGAUGUAAUUUAUCCAUUUUUUUCUUUUACAUAGUUCAUACCUUUUUUGUCCUACUUAAGACAUUUUUGCUAAAUUCAAGAUUAUAAGAUUUCCUCAUUUGUUACCUUCUGGAAGUUUUAUAAUUGUUGGUCUUCAUUAUAUUUAAAAUGAAUUAUUCUUUAUAGUAUCGAUAGAUGCUGGAGGCAGAUAAGGGAGGGUCCCUGGAGAAUCUCUGACCUGCCUCACAAGCUUUUGUGCAGCUGAGGAAGCCUGCCCAGGGUCUUGUCUGGGCAUGCCCACAAGGGACUUGGGGGCCCACUGCACCAGGAGAGUGGGGUGCAGCCAGAGGGAAUUCAGCCUUAUGCAGCAGGGAUGAGCAAGAAGUCUUCAGCUUGUGUGUGUUGGCCUGUUAUUCAGUCUGUGAGCUGGGAGCCUGUUGGCAGGACCCUCCUUGUUUUUUUGCUAAGAGCUUUUAAUAAAUGCCACUCUUCACCUUGCAAUGUAUUCACAUGCCUAAUUGUUCCUGGUCAUGAGACAAGAACCUGGAUUUUAGCUGAGCUAAGGAGCAAAAAUUCCUGCAUCAGUAUUAGGUGUAAGGAAGAACAGAAGGAUCCAAGUGUGAGAAAGCCCACCCUGAGUCUCUCAGAGGUGAUUAUGACUGUGUGAGCAUGGAUUCAUUUCACUACCAGGUCAAAGACACAAUCAAAAGCCCGACAAAUGGAAUUUGUGGAAUUGGAACAAAAAGGCACAAGAACAUCAAAGCAUAAAUCCUUCAGGUAUCAGCAAUGACAUCACUUAAGAAUUUCUCAGAAUCUUUGGCACCACCCCAGGCCUACCGGAUCAGAAUCUGAAUUUUUUAACAAGAUCUCAGAUCUAGUCAAGAGUCCAGUCUGAUUUCUCUUUAUUGGGACUACCACCCAAAGCAGAAUGAGGAUGAUGUAACCACGCCCAGUGACUUCUGGAUACCACUGACUCUAGAUCCUGAAUUCCAGCAGAAUGGCUGACACCAACUGGUCUGAAGACCCUCACCAAGGAACUGACUCAGUGCAGGAAUGCAGUUUCUUCAUCUCCCUAUCCCUGACUUCACCCCUCACUUCUCAACCAAUCAGUGAUCACCACACUUUAGGCCAUCACCUGUGUCCAGACCCCUUAAAAACCCCAUCUGCAAACCUCUUGAAGAGGCAUAUUUGAGGUUUCCUCUCAUCUCCUCAUUUGGUUUCCCUACAAUUAUUAAAUUCUUUCUCUGCUGCAACUCCUACUUUUUCAGUGUAUUGGUCUGUUACUGUGCAACAGGAAAUCAGACCUGGUGGUCCUAUAGUAAGAGUUCACAGAAUAUGAUAUACAAAGUGAUCUGUGAUAUACAAAAACCGGCACAAUCUCACUCUUAAUAAGAAAAAUUCAACUUAAAAUUAAAAGUUUUUUUUCCUCAGAAUGGCAAAGAUCAAAGUUUGAUAACAUGGUUGGAAAGUAUGCAGACCGAUAUUCUCAUAUUCAUUGAUGAAGUGUAAAUUGAUACAUCCUUUGUCAGUACGGACAGGUUUCCCAACUCUAGGGGUGAAAUUUAUACAGACUACAGUGUGAAUGACAACCACUUCAAAUUGGGUGAUAUGAUGACCUUGACUCUGUGGAGGGUCAUUUGGCAAAAUAUCUCAAAAUAAAAAUGUACAUACAAUUUG